rnacentral:rRNA from 1 species
CCCUGGUAGUCCACGCCGUAAACGAUGUCGAUUUGGAGGUUGUGCCCUUGAGGCGUGGCUUCCGGAGCUAACGCGUUAAAUCGACCGCCUGGGGAGUACGGCCGCAAGGUUAAAACUCAAAUGAAUUGACGGGGGCCCGCACAAGCGGUGGAGCAUGUGGUUUAAUUCGAUGCAACGCGAAGAACCUUACCUGGUCUUGACAUCCACAGAACUUUCCAGAGAUGGAUUGGUGCCUUCGGGAACUGUGAGACAGGUGCUGCAUGGCUGUCGUCAGCUCGUGUUGUGAAAUGUUGGGUUAAGUCCCGCAACGAGCGCAACCCUUAUCCUUUGUUGCCAGCGGUCCGGCCGGGAACUCAAAGGAGAC